rnacentral:lncRNA from 1 species
CAGGCCGCGGGCGGGGCGGGGCGGGGCGGGUGGCGUUUCCGUUGCUUGGAGUGGGCCGAGAGCAGCUGCCCGGAGCCUGCAGCGCUCGCAUCCCUGCCCUGCCCCGCGCGCCGCCGUCCCGCGCCCCCGCGGCUUCCCCGGAGGUUCGGAGCACUCGGAUCCGUCUGCCACCCGUGGGUUUGCAUCACCUUUUCCUGACCUGAGCAGUCGCCAUGGCACAGUCCUCCUCCACUAGCACUGAAAUAGCUGGGGGUCUACCAACCGUUACGGAGAGGAGAGAAGUAGUCUAACAUGAGGCUUCCUAGUCUUUCUCGAAGGUAACACACUGAUUAACUGUAUCUUCUCCAUGACAUACAAGAAAACUCUGAAUUACAAUUACAUGUAAACAGUUCGUG